rnacentral:lncRNA from 1 species
GGAUUACCUUAGCCAUAUUUUGCACAACUUUUUGGAAUUUCGGAUCCUCAAUGCUCUUCAACUUUGUACUUGUUUGGUUUUAUAAAUAUUUUGAUAUGAGCGUCACUGAUGAGUCUUAAGUAGACAAAACGCGCAUCUGGCGUACUAAAUUAUAAUCCUGGUACCUUUGAUAACUAUUUGUCUUUUUUAUGCCCCUGUCUUAGCAGAGGGGGCAUUAAGUUUACAAGAACCCUUGUCCCUCUGUAGAUUCAAAAGCUGUUUUCCAUUUUGAACUUGUCUGCCUGAACUAAAUGUUAUGAAACUAAUAGCAAUGCUUAUUAUCACCCAAGACCAAUCAAGUUUGAAUUUUCGUGGCAUCACUUUAACCGUGCUAGAGUUAUGUCUCUUUAUAAAUGACAAAAUGCUGAAUUUUAAGUUUCCUUUCUCUAACUUAGUUACAUGUAGCCUCAACCAAAUGUUAUGAUACUUAUACACAAAGCCAAUUACCAAAAAACACUGAUCAAGUUUGAGUUUUGGUGGUGUCCCUUUACAAAUGGAAAAAUUGCUGAAUUCUCUGUUCUCUAACAUAAGUUUGAUUUUACGAAAUGUUAUACAGAAUGCUAAUUACCACAAAACACACUCAUAUUUGCGGUUUAGGGACUUCUUGAAAGAUUUUCAGUAUUCUUAAUUUCUUAUUGUACAGAAAAACUAAUUUAGGCCCAGCAAGAAAGAACAUACAAGAAAGUAGUAUAUUUAUAAAACAAAAUAAAAUCUUACGCACAG